CUCCCCCUCCUGUAGGUUCUGUGGUCUGAUCCAGUUCCAGGGAGAGGUCCGUAAGAAGGUUCUGUUCCAGCUGCUGCUGCUCCUCUGUCACCCCUUCCCUGUGAUCAGGAAGACCACAGCCAGCCAGGUGUACGAGAUGCUGCUGACCUACGACGAUGUCAUCGACCCUGACGUGAUGGAUGAUGUCAUGACGUCGCUGAGUGACACCAACUGGGAGGAGGACGUCGCCACAGUGAGGACCCACAGAAACCAGCUCUGUGAUUGGCUAGGAGUACAGAAGCCCCAGCUCGUUGCCAAGGGUCCUGUCCAGUAGGCCCGGGGGAAACUAUUCUCAGCAGGAACUAAAGAACUGUAGCACAGGAUCCUUCAGGAUGGCAUUAUGUGUGGCAUCACAAAGUACAGCUGCACUUCUAAAAGGUCACAGCCUUCAGUGAUGUUCCAAGACCCACACACUUUGCUACAGUACAUUCUAAUUGGUAUGCUAGUAUGGUCAUGAAAUGUAUGGUAGUCUGGGUUCAUCUGGGAUUCAUCUGUCUGUCUGUCUCUGUCUGUCGACUGAAAAAGUAAAAAAGAACAAAACAG